rnacentral:misc_RNA from 1 species
AACAUGAUCCCCCUUGGCCCGGUCAUGGCAUGGCUGCUCAAAAUACUCAUGGCCCUAGCCUGUCUGGGGUGAGUGUCCUCUAUACUCUUCCAGAAAAGGAAGAGCUCGAAGAAAAUCAAAAUGUCAAUCUCAAUCUCGAUCUCUUCGCUCACCUCAUACUUGUCUUCACUUUCUUUCUCUUCUCAAGUUUCGCAAAAACCAAACACCCUCUCAUUUUCCCGUUCAAAAUCCCUUUCGUUCUCGCCCUCCCCCAAACCUCUUCUUGUCUCCGCCACGGUUGCGUCACCCGUGGAAUCCGAGACCACUGACCUCAAGAAAUUGGUUAAGUCGAGGCUCCCCGGUGGAUUCGCCGCCCAACCCAUCAUCGGCACCGGCCGCCGUAAAUGCGCCAUUGCUCGAGUCGUUCUUCAAGAAGGCACAGGCAAAGUUAUCAUCAAUUACCGCGACGCCAAGGUCUUUCCCCAUUCCCUCUUUCUUUCUGUGCCUGCUAUAGAGUUAUGUUUUUUCGCCGCUGCUUGUCUGGAUCGUCGAGGCUUAGUUUUUCGAUAGAUGAAAAUUUGGGGAUGUUGAAACAAAUGCAGCGCAUAAUUUGAUUGGAUUAGUUAAUCCAUAUGUCUUAUGUUUGGCUUGAGAUUGAGCAAGUAGCGAAGAAUUGCAAUUUCUAACCACAAAUUUGUGGAUUGGGACUUGGAGACUGAAAUGGACAAUGGUAAGGGCUCACAAGUUUUUGGGUGUUUUUGGAAUGGCAUACAUUCUUUUAUGAUCAGAUAUUGAAAUCUAAUGAGUACUGUUUUUCUGAAUUCUUCUAAGUACGUAAUAUGAUUUUCUAGGUCAGCUUUUGAAUCCUUAACUUUUAAGUAUGCUGGUGAACCACUCUUCAAUCUGGAGAUGCUAUUCAGCCAUCCAUGCAUGUGAACAUUUUGUUAAAGCAACGUACUUUUCACUUCUGGACUUCUGAUUACAGGAAAGAAUAAAGCAUUAUGUCCCUCAUGCUGUUUGAAAUUAUUGCUUUGCUCUAACUAGGCCAACCAUAUAGGAAAUAAGUUCCUUUGUUUUAUUUUGUUAUGGAAUUCAUGUCCUUGCAGGCUUAAGUUCAGAAAUUUUGCAAUUUUUUUAUGGUAUCUCAGAAUGUUUUUGUUUUCCCAAUAUGCUUGAACAGAUGGGGAAUAAAUUGGCUAAUCUUACUUAUAGUUUUAUAAUUAGAAAAUUGAUUUCUAUCUUGGGAUCUUUUGCCUAGUUAUUUACUAUUUAGCACUUACAUUCUAUUGCACCGCUAGUGGCAGCUUGUGAAUUAUAUAAAAUUGAGAUUACUAACUUGAUACACUUUCUAGGCAAUGUAGUUCCAUGGUUUAUUGUUAAUAUGCAUGAUUUUCUUCCCAGUGAUUGCAACCUUGCUUGAAUGACUUCCAAGUGCUUGUGUCAAAUUUUUUUCGUCUAUUUACAUGCUGUCUUUCCAUGAGUAACUGGUGCAUAGAACAAUAAAGUCAUCUCUCGUCCAUUUGCUUUCUUCUGGGUUCCUUUUCAACUUCCUUGGUGCUUGCAAAUGAUGAGUCCUGUUAUGGGCUUAGGCCUUUAUUGUAGAGAAGGAACCUCUUUAUAUAUGCUCUUAAAUAUGGUUUUUUUUUAAUUCACUUGAGAGUGAUGUCUAAAAUCAUUUUACGCAUUGUAUCUUUAAAUGAAUUACAUGGAUGCCAAAGUUCUCAAAUCUUAUAUGGGUGAGAGUGGCAUGUGGCAUCAAUUGUGCAACUCCUUCAGGGGUAUCUUUUGUGGUAUGAUCAUGGCUUAUUUUGGUUGCUGUGAUUAUGGAGCUAUGUUCUCUUUGUCCUUCACUCCCUCUCCACAUGUUUAUGUAUAUAUUCCUUGUGACUGGGUUUUCUAAUGCUGUGCAGGAAUAUCUUCAAGGUAACCCUUUAUGGCUUCAAUACAUAAAGGUCCCAUUGGUAACCCUGGGGUACGAGAGCAGCUAUGAUGUAUUUGUCAAAGCUCAUGGUGGUGGUCUAUCUGGUCAGGCACAAGCAAUCUCUCUUGGCAUCUCCCGUGCAUUGCUAAAGGUGAGUGAGAGCCAUAGAUCCCCUUUGAAAAGGGAAGGGCUACUGACUAGGGAUUCAAGGGUAGUUGAGAGGAAGAAGGUUGGUCUCAAGAAAGCUCGCAAGGCUCCACAGUAUUCUAAACGUUGAAGUUUGAUUUUAUUGUUUUACUUUCUGUCUAGCGGCUUUUUGUUUCUAUACGGUAUACAUCUCUGUAAUGCUGUAUUUAAGCAAAUUAACUUUAUGUUCAGCUAUCAUAUGUUUUGAACGCAAAAUAGGGAAUUCCUUUCUGUGAUAAUACCUUAUAGCAAUACCUAAAAAAGUUUUAUCUGUUCGCAAUUUGCAUAUGCAUUUUUAGUAACUAUUUUGUCAUUGCCCAAUCCUAUAAUAUAUGAGUUUU